GAACUGCCGUUAUUAAGCAGCAUGGCUACUUAACAUUGUGUUUUAAGACUGAGUCCCACAGUGAUAUAAAUUUUGGUCCCAUUACCUCUGUUAGGUAAGAACUACCAAUAGUUACCCUUUUAGUACCGCUACUGUGAAUGCCUACUUUAGACUCCACAGAUGAAGAAGAGAAUGAGAAGCAUAGGAAUUGUCUUUAUGGAAAAAACUAAACAAGGCUUCCAGAAGAUGGAAUCUUGCGGGGCAGGGCUGUCAAACUCCCAGCCCACGGACCGGAUUCGUCACACACUGGCCACACCCACACCUGGUUUAGCGAAGGGGGAAAAAGUCCCGAUACAUCACGUGACACCACCGUGAUGAUGUGAGUUUGACACCCCUGCUUUAGGGGAAAAAUCAUUAAAAUUAUAUAAGACUGCUACUCAAAGUAAUGACCUUGGGGAUGGAACAACAGACAGCAAAACCAAGUAGAAAAAAAAAUGCAAUAUAACAUCAUAACACAUUCAAAGGCUAUAUUCAGGAAAACUAUGGCUUGUCAUUUACAAGCAUGAGCUUCAGAUUUCCUUUUCUCCUCCUCCACUAACUUCUGUCUCCUCUGGAACCUUGCAGAAAAUAAAAAAAAAAAUUCAUUUCCACUUUCAAUUUA